rnacentral:rRNA from 1 species
GAUGAACGCUGGCGGCGUGCCUAAUACAUGCAAGUCGAGCGAACAGACGAGGAGCUUGCUCCUCUGACGUUAGCGGCGGACGGGUGAGUAACACGUGGAUAACCUACCUAUAAGACUGGGAUAACUUCGGGAAACCGGAGCUAAUACCGGAUAAUAUAUUGAACCGCAUGGUUCAAUAGUGAAAGACGGUUUUGCUGUCACUUAUAGAUGGAUCCGCGCCGCAUUAGCUAGUUGGUAAGGUAACGGCUUACCAAGGCAACGAUGCGUAGCCGACCUGAGAGGGUGAUCGGCCCCACUGGAACUGAGACACGGUCCAGACCCCUACGGGAGGCAGCAGUAGGGAAUCUUCCGCAAUGGGCGAAAGCCUGACGGAGCAACGCCGCGUGAGUGAUGAAGGUCUUCGGAUCGUAAAACUCUGUUAUUAGGGAAGAACAAAUGUGUAAGUAACUAUUCACGUCUUGACGGUACCUAAUCAGAAAGCCACGGCUAACUACGUG